GUAUACUUUCAAAUUUCCAUGAGCCACCGUGAGAAAAAAAUUUUGUCAAUCCAGGAGUAGUGGGAAAAAAAAUUGACAGUUACAUGUUUUGUUUUUGUUUGUGAUUAUUAUCAUUCCUGCAAAAUUUUCCAGUCCGAGAGAAUGAACCGGCUCUCGAAAAAAACAGUGCUUCGUUCUAACCAGAAAUUGCUUCCUGCAUGUGAAGCCAAGCCAUCAAAAACCAAUUCCAGUGCCAGAAAAUACACAGGAAAACCGAGAUGGCACACAGCAUUUUGUACAGAAUGUGGAAAGCGGCAAACGAAAAUCUAAUAAAUACUCGAAAGUUUCGACUAAAGUAAAAAAGGAGGCCCAGCCCAAAUGCCAAAUACCAAAAGAAACUACUUCAAGUGGAACCAUACAAGCACUCCGACAGCUUGCAGGAGAAAAGGGCGUUCCAUUGUCGGGGAAUAAGGAGCAGUUGAAGCAAAGAUUGCAGUGGUAUGACACGUAUAACUUGAAUUCAUCGAUUAUUGAACCCGUAGAAGCAGUGAAGCCGCUAGACGACUCUGGAUUUAUCGAAGACUUGGCGUUUUUCGCGUGCGAUGAAGUUCUCCAGCAAUCGUUGGGAUGGCUUAGUGUCGUGGAAAUUUUUUCAUAUUUUCAACAACGAUCUGCCCGUCAAGGAUAUCGCAAUGGGAAGCUGCUGCAACAAGCCGGAUUCUUAAGGAAUGUUUGCUAC